rnacentral:tRNA from 1 species
GCCUUCGUAGUCUAGUGAUCAGACGCUCGAUUUGUAUUUGAGAAGUCCGUGGUUCAAUUCUCGGCGAGAGCA